UAAUACCGGAUAACAACAGAUGAUGCCUAUCAACUGUUUAAAAGUAUGGUUCUUGCUAUCACUCUUGGAUGGACCUGCGGUGCAUUAGCUAGUUGGUAGGGUAACGGCCUACCAAGGCGAUGAUGCAUAGCCCGAGUUGAGAGACUGAUCGGCCACAUUGGGACUGAGACACGGCCCAAACUCCUACGGGAGGGCAGCAGUAGGGAAUCUUCCACAAUGGACGCAAGUCUGAUGGAGCAACGCCGCGUGAGUGAAGAAGGGUUUCGGCUCGUAAAGCUCUGUUGUUGGUGAAGAAGGACAGGGGGUAGUAACUGACCUUUGUUUGACGGUAAUCAAUUAGAAAGUCACGGCUAACUACGUGCCAGCAGCCGCGGUAAU
rnacentral:rRNA from 1 species